ACGCAAUAGAUACCCCGGUAGUCCACGCCCUAAACGAUGGAUACUAGGCGUAAGAGGUAUCGACCCCUCUUGUGCCGCAGCUAAACGCAUUAAGUAUCCCGCCUGGGGAGUACGGCCGCAAGGUUGAAACUCAAAUGAAUUGACGGGGACCCGCACAAGCGGUGGAGCAUGUGGAUUAAUUCGAUACUAACCGAAGAACCUUACCCAGACUUGACAUCGAUCGCAAGCCUUAGAAAUAGGGCCCUCCCCCACAAGGGGACGUGAAGACACUUGUUGCAUGGCUGUCGUCAGCUCGUGCCGUGAGGUGUACGGUUAAGUCCGCCAACGAGCGCAACCCUCGUCCUGUGUUACCAGCAUGAAAGAUGGGGACUCACAGGAGACCGCCGGUGUAAAUCGGAGGAAGGUGGGGAUGACGUCAAGUCGGCAUGGCAGUUACGUCUGGGGCUUCACACAUGCUACAAUGGGCGCAACAAAGGGCAGCAAUACCGCGAGGUGGAGCAAAUCCCAAAAUACGCCCCAGUUCAGAUUGCAGUCUGC
rnacentral:rRNA from 1 species